rnacentral:rRNA from 1 species
AUUGAACGCUGGCGGCAUGCCUUACACAUGCAAGUCGAACGGCAGCACGGGAGCAAUCCUGGUGGCGAGUGGCGAACGGGUGAGUAAUAUAUCGGAACGUGCCCAGUCGUGGGGGAUAACGUAGCGAAAGCUACGCUAAUACCGCAUACGAUCUAUGGAUGAAAGCGGGGGAUCGCAAGACCUCGCGCGAUUGGAGCGGCCGAUAUCAGAUUAGCUAGUUGGUGGGGUAAAAGCUCACCAAGGCGACGAUCUGUAGCUGGUCUGAGAGGACGACCAGCCACACUGGAACUGAGACACGGUCCAGACUCCUACGGGAGGCAGCAGUGGGGAAUUUUGGACAAUGGGCGCAAGCCUGAUCCAGCAAUGCCGCGUGCAGGACGAAGGCCUUCGGGUUGUAAACUGCUUUUGUACGGAACGAAAAAGUCUGCCUUAAUACGGUGGGCUCAUGACGGUACCGUAAGAAUAAGCACCGGCUAACUACGUG